GGCAGGAUAUCUCAGUUGGUAAAGCGUGAGACUCUUAAUCUCAGAGUUGUGGGAUCGAGCCUUGUGCCG